ensembl:snRNA U6 U6 spliceosomal RNA
GUGCUCGCUUCUGCAGCACAUAUACUAAAAUUGGAGGGAUACCAACAUUAGAAUGGCCCCUGCGCAGAUGGCACACAACUUCAUGAGGCGCUCCAUAUUUUU